UACGUAGGGUGCAAGCGUUGUCCGGAAUUAUUGGGCGUAAAGAGCUCGUAGGCGGUCUGUUGCGUCGGCUGUGAAAACCCGGGGCUCAACUCCGGGCCUGCAGCCGAUACGGGCAGACUAGAGUUCGGAAGGGGCUACUGGAAUUCUCGGUGUAGCGGUGAAAUGCGUAGAUAUCGAGAGGAACACCUGCGGCGAAGGCGGGUAGCUGGGCCGACACUGACGCUGAGGCGCGAAAGCCAGGGGAGCGAACGGG
rnacentral:rRNA from 1 species